rnacentral:rRNA from 1 species
GUCUAUGGCCAUACCACCCUGAAUGCACCCAAUCUCGUCCGAUCUCAGAAGCUAAGCAGGCUUGGGCCUUGGAUGGGAAAUAAUCAGAAGGAUCGACUGAUAAAUGAAAAGGAGGUCAUUUCCU